rnacentral:rRNA from 1 species
UACGGGGGGAGCAAGCGUUGUUCGGAUUUACUGGGCGUAAAGGGCGCGUAGGCGGUCACGACAAGUCACUUGUGAAAUCUCCGGGCUUAACUCGGAACGGUCAAGUGAUACUGUCGUGCUAGAGUACAGAAGGGGCAACUGGAAUUCUCGGUGUAGCGGUGAAAUGCGUAGAUAUCGAGAGGAACACCUGCGGCGAAGGCGGGUUGCUGGGCUGAUACUGACGCUGAGGCGCGAAAGCCAGGGGAGCGAACGGG